CCGAAAGGGUUGGGGUCGCGGGAGUUCGGCUACCGGUCGACCCCCUGCGACCCUGUUGCAGUGGUCGCUGGAUUUUUGUGGAUUUCGUGUGCAAGCUGGGCCCGACUGCUCGCGCUCCAUUCCGGUUUGCUGCGCCCGCCACCCGCUCCGCCCCCAGCCCGAUGGAUGCGAUUCCGAGUGCGAUGGCGAUCACGGCCGGCCAGGCCAGACCGGUUGAGGCCGUGGCCGCUUGGUUCGUGGCCGUGCUCGUCGCUUCGCCGCUCCGCACUCGCAUUCGACGUUCAUCCGCAGUCGAGUGAGUUGCCGUCGUCGGUGCAGCGCGAGAUUCCCAUUUUCAUCGACAUCGACCCGACCUGGCGAUUUCCGCGCGACAAUUUUCACGCUUUCAACUGUUCCAGGCCCGGGAGUGAUUGCGAGGAGUGCGAGCGCCCGCAGAGGGGAAAGUGUAGUGCGGCGACCGCGGAAGUUGCAAUUUUCCGGUGAAUGUGGUCCGAGUCCGUGGCCGUUUGCGAUGUUCCGGUCGGGCUUUGUGCGGUGGUUCCCUGAGAGUGGCUGGCGCUGUUGAGGGCGCCCGGCAGCGGUUUCCGUGACCGUUACAUCCGCCAGCUGAGCCCUGCGAGGAGGCAGGCUCGGAAGUGAGUGCAGGACAGAUCGCCCGUUCGGCGUGCUGCGUGCGAGCUAGGGAGGCUGCAGAGCUUUCGACCACCACUGCCGGUGUGCCAGUGGAGCGUUUCGCAGCGGCCCCGACUCCUUCGGCGGGAGGGAGGCGGACUUCCUUGGAAGGACACAGACAAGGCGGCCGCCGAGGACAGCAGGCACUGCCUUCCGAGUGCACCUUCAGACGCUUCCCGGCAGCAGUAACGCGACGUUUUUCCCAGCAGUCGGUCGUCGCCGGCUCCGUGGCCUGUGCACGUGAAGUGGUUUUCCCAAUUUUCCGGCGUUUGUGCGGCUCAAUGCCAUCGCGUCGUGCCACCGGCUGAGGUCGGCACUGGAUCCAUCUCGAUUUGUGCUGGACUCGCUCGCGUGCUUGCCAGUCAGCUGACUCGAACCGUUACACUUGCAUCGACUUAGUCGGGACACACUUUGUCCUUGCCGGCAGCAGCUGCGUUCGUGGCUUGUGGCAGGCGUCGAGCGGACAUUUUCCACGCACAGUGAACAGGCGGCCUGGCUUCCCCACGCGCAUUUUCUCAGGCCGAUUUUCGUCAAGGUGAAAAGUGCAACCUUUUUCCUGACAGUGACAACGUCGACGGCUGCAUUGUGGAAGCUGCGGCCGUGCUUGUAAUGUGACGUAGGCUCAGUGAUGCGACGCGAGUCGGAAAAGUGUUGAAGCGAUUUUCACCUGUGCCCGUUCCGCGAAACAGCCAGUGAUUUUCGGAGUGAGAAUUUCGUUCUUUGCAAGAAUUGGAGUUUUGUAGUGCGAGAAGCGUUGACGGGAGAAUAAAAUUUUAGAUAAAUUUGUGGAAUUUAAAUUUGUUGUCAGCCAGUGAGUGUUUUAGGAUUCGCAGUGCCAAGCGAACUCGAUUUCAGAAGGCCAGAUUUCCCGAAGAAAGUACUGUAACCAAUUAACGAUACCACUGUGUGUAUGAGGUACUCGUGCAGUCGAAGGACUCGUGAGAAGGCUGUAAGUCACCAAGUACAAUACCUGGCACACCGCAAGCCUGCUAUAAAGUCAUCAAUUAGUUUUAUUAAAUCUGAGUUUUGUAAGUCGCCAACAAAAGCGCAGUACGGGGUCUAACUAAAAUGUUGAAAGAGUUGGAGCUGGUCGUUAGCGUCGCCAGUGCUUAAUCAUCAUCCCCUUGCAAUUGAGGCGAUCGAGCGUGACGAACUUUUUGCUUCUUUUUGGCCAUUGGACAGACGAAAUCCACUUUCAUUUUGGAGACAGACAG